UACAGAGGGUGCAAGCGUUGUUCGGAAUUAUUGGGCGUAAAGGGCGCGUAGGCGGUUCGGCAAGUCUCUAGUGAAAUCUCUGGGCUCAACUCAGAGUCUGCUGGGGAAACUGCCGGGCUUGAGUGUGGGAGAGGAGAGUGGAAUUUCCGGUGUAGCGGUGAAAUGCGCAGAUAUCAGGAAGAACACCCGUGGCUAAGGCGGUUCUCUAGUACGGUACUGACGCUGAGACACGAAAGCGUGGGGAGCGAACAGG
rnacentral:rRNA from 1 species